AAUCUUCCACAAUGGACGGAAGUCUGAUGGAGCAACGCCGCGUGAGCGUAGAAGGUUUUCGGAUCGUAAAGCUCUGUUGUAAGGGAAGAACACGUACGGGAGUCACUGCCCGUACCUUGACGGUACCUUACCCGAAAGACACGGCUAAGUACGUUCCAGCAGCCACGGUAAUACGUAGGUGGCAAGCGGUGUCCGGAAUUAUUGGGCGUAAAGCGCGGGCAGGCGGUCCUUUAAGUCUGAUGUGAAAGCCCACGGCUCAACCGUGGAGGGUCAUUGGAAACUGGAGGACUUGAGUACAGAAGAGGAAAGCGGAAUUCCACGUGUAGCGGUGAAAUGCGUAGAGAUGUGGAGGAACACCAGUGGCGAAGGCGGCUUUCUGGUCUGUAACUGACGCUGAGGCGCGAAAGCGUGGGGAGCAAACAG
rnacentral:rRNA from 1 species